rnacentral:rRNA from 1 species
UACGGGGGGGGCAAGCGUUGUUCGGAAUUACUGGGCGUAAAGCGCACGUAGGCGGCUUUGUAAGUUAGAGGUGAAAGCCCGGGGCUCAACUCCGGAAUUGCCUUUAAGACUGCAUCGCUAGAAUUGUGGAGAGGUAGGUGGAAUUCCAGGUGUAGCGGUGAAAUGCGUAGAUAUCUGGAGGAAUACCGGUGGCGAAGGCGGCAUCCUGGACCGACAUUGACGCUGAUGAGCGAAAGCUAGGGGAGCAAACGGG